rnacentral:rRNA from 1 species
AGUCCACGCCGUAAACGAUGUCUACUAGCCGUUGGAGGACUUGAUCCUUUAGUGGCGCAGCUAACGCGAUAAGUAGACCGCCUGGGGAGUACGGUCGCAAGAUUAAAACUCAAAUGAAUUGACGGGGGCCCGCACAAGCGGUGGAGCAUGUGGUUUAAUUCGAAGCAACGCGAAGAACCUUACCUACUCUUGACAUCCAGUGAACUUUUGAGAGAUCAAUUGGUGCCUUCGGGAACACUGAGACAGGUGCUGCAUGGCUGUCGUCAGCUCGUGUUGUGAAAUGUUGGGUUAAGUCCCGUAACGAGCGCAACCCUUGUCCUUAGUUACCAUCAUUAAGUUGGGGACUCUAAGGAGACUGCCGGUGACAAACCGGAGGAAGGCGGGGACGACGUCAAGUCAUCAUGGCCCUUACGAGUAGGGCUACACACGUGCUACAAUGGCAUGUACAAAGGGUUGCCAAGCCGCGAGGUGGAGCUAAUCCCAUAAAGCAUGUCGUA